rnacentral:rRNA from 1 species
GACGAACGCUGGCGGCGUGCUUAACACAUGCAAGUCGAACGGACCUUCGGGUUAGUGGCGAACGGGUGAGUAACACGUGGGUGAUCUGCCCUGCACUUUGGGAUAAGCCUGGGAAACUGGGUCUAAUACCGAAUAGGACCACGCGCUUCAUGGUGUGUGGUGGAAAGCUUUUGCGGUGUGGGAUGGGCCCGCGGCCUAUCAGCUUGUUGGUGGGGUAAUGGCCUACCAAGGCGACGACGGGUAGCCGGCCUGAGAGGGUGACCGGCAACACUGGGACUGAGAUACGGCCCAGACUCCUACGGGAGGCAGCAGUGGGGAAUAUUGCACAAUGGGCGCAAGCCUGAUGCAGCGACGCCGCGUGAGGGAUGACGGCCUUCGGGUUGUAAACCUCUUUCGCCAGGGACGAAGCGCAAGUGACGGUACCUGGAGAAGAAGGACCGGCCAACUACGUGCCAGCCGCCGCCGUAA